GGACUACCCGGGUUUCUAAUCCUGUUUGCUCCCCACGCUUUCGCACCUCAGCGUCAGUAUUGGCCCAGGUCGCCGCCUUCGCCACUGGUGUUCCUCCCGAUAUCUACGAAUUUCACCUCUACACCGGGAAUUCCGCGACCCUCUUCCAUACUCAAGCUCGCCAGUUUCGAAUGCACUUCCUGGGUUGAGCCCAGGGAUUUCACAUCCGACUUAACAAGCCGCCUACGUGCGCUUUACGCCCAAUGAUUCCGAGCAACGUUUGCACGCUCCGUAUUACCGCGGCUGCUGGCAC
rnacentral:rRNA from 1 species